ensembl:lncRNA
CAUGAAUGACUUGGACUCCCCAUGUUGACCCUGAAGCCUUGUUUCCAUUGGCACUUUGAAUCAGGGCCCCGUUCAAUCCCUUAUCAUUCUAGUGGACAACAGGAAACCUGCUUGUAUAAAGUACCUUUGCAUUACAGAGUUGACACUUGAUUCAGAGUUGCUUAGAUAAGUUGCUUCUGGUGAAUGACAGCAGGCCCUGACUCUCUCUCUGUCAGGUGUUAGCGUUGGCAGAUGUAGCGGAGGAGAACCGGGCAUGUCUGAAUAAGGCGUUUGUCCGCCUGCGCAGUGCCACCCACCUCCUCAUCAUCCUGGUCUCCCUGUGGCAGGGCCUCAACACAGAGCAAAACGCCAUCCUGGAGGCUACGCUGCUACCCCUGGGGGCUGUGAGCCAAUCACGGAGGCUGUUGCGGACCUGGAGGAGCCGCCCCUGCAACAGGAGUCUGCCACCAAGUUCAUCAAAAAGAAACAGCCAUCUAAGAAAGUCGAGACCAAGACAGAAAAAGAGUCCAAGGACAAGAAAGUGUCUGCUGAGGGUCCAGUCAAGGAGGCAGGGGAAGAGACUGCAGAAGAGCCUGUGAAAGAAGUGAAGAAAGAAAAGUCCUCUAAGGAAAAGAAGGAGUCGACCAAGGAGCCCAAGGACCCUGGGAAAGAGUCAAAAAAGGAGUCUUCAAAAGAGUCCAAGGAAAAGGAGUCCUCCAAGGAAAAGAAGGAAUCCUCCAAGGAAUCUGGAAAGGAGUCAAAUAAGGAGUCAAAUAAGGAGACCAGCAAAGAGUCAUUGAGGGAGCCUGGAAAGGAGACAUUUUUCGAGAAAGUCAUCUGUGAAGGUCAAGGAGAAAAAGAAAGAGCCAGAUGCUGCUGCUGGAGAGGACUGAUAAUGUCAUGCAAUAAAUACAUUCAGUCACACACACACACACACGCACACACGCACACACACGCACGCACGUUACGCACGCGCGCACACACACACAGACACACACACAGACACACACACAGACACACACACAGUCUCACAUAUACACUCAUAUUCAUUGACAAACACACUUCUAUCAGGGCUGAUGCUGGUCUAUAGUCAGGACUUCUGGUGUCUGUGUUGGGUGUAGGUGCAGUGCUGAAGAUGAGGCCCAGUCAGAAACUCCAGUAGAACAGUCUAGGAGUUGGACGUGCGACAUCAAAGGCCUUCCCCUCCCUUCCUUCCAGUGGCAGCGUCUCUCAGUGGAACCCACAGCCCUGUGCGUCGGUAAGCCCUAACCACCCCGCCUACACGCGGGCACUCUGACAUCUACCCCGCCCUCUCGCCCCCUCGUGUGGCACCAUGCCUUGCCAGAGCCACCCCCGCCUCAGGCUAAGAAUAACCCCCGCUUUCCGUCCAUCCCUCCGUAUGUCCCCUCGGGUAAAACGAGGCCACUUUCGCCCCCCAUCAGCAGCUUUCAGCGCACAGAAGCAGGAAAACCAUCAAACUGAGACAAAAGGGGAGGGAUUUCAAGCAGCCCUUGUGAUCGUUUGUGAGGACUUGCAGGAACAUACUCAAUCACGCACACCACAAACACAAGAAUACAAAUAUGCACAACUAUACAUGUAAAAACACUAGCUAGCACCUGCACGUAUUCUGCAACACACAGCCCUGCAAGUUUAGCCGUGUUUCCAGCCUCUGAGACCACCUUCUGUUAGAGGA